ACCUAAAUAAACAAAUGAUUGCAUUAAAAAUUGCUCUUAGUUUUUCAUAUUUGUACAGUUUCUGCUCACCUU